CCCUUCGCUAAUACAUGCAAGUCGUACGCUAGCCGCUGAAUUGAUCCUUCGGGUGAAGUGAGGCAAUGACUAGAGUGGCGAACUGGUGAGUAACACGUAAGAAACCUGCCCUUUAGUGGGGGAUAACAUUUGGAAACAGAUGCUAAUACCGCGUAACAACAAAUCACACAUGUGAUCUGUUUGAAAGGUCCUUUUGGAUCGCUAGAGGAUGGUCUUGCGGCGUAUUAGCUUGUUGGUAGGGUAGAAGCCUACCAAGGCAAUGAUGCGUAGCCGAGUUGAGAGACUGGCCGGCCACAUUGGGACUGAGACACUGCCCAAACUCCUACGGGAGGCUGCAGUAGGGAAUUUUCCGCAAUGCACGAAAGUGUGACGGAGCGACGCCGCGUGUGUGAUGAAGGCUUUCGGGUCGUAAAGCACUGUUGUAAGGGAAGAAUAACUGAAUUCAGAGAAAGUUUUCAGCUUGACGGUACCUUACCAGAAAGGGAUGGCUAAAUACGUGCCAGCAGCCGCGGUAAUACGUAUGUCCCGAGCGUUAUCCGGAUUUAUUGGGCGUAAAGCGAGCGCAGACGGUUUAUUAAGUCUGAUGUGAAAUCCCGAGGCCCAACCUCGGAACUGCAUUGGAACUGAAGGAUCA
rnacentral:rRNA from 1 species